GAAUGUGAGGGAAGUCGUUACAAUGUGUACCACCCCACUGAUCACUAGGGUUGAGCCGGUGACCUAGCUAGCUACGUGGAUUGUGAAUGUCCCCUUCUUUCCUCAGUGUUUCAUAUACACCUCAGGUAAAAACUGCUGUGCUCUGUAAGAGAGGACAUCCCUCCUGGAGGAAAGAAGGGCGAUCUUGGACCAAGAGUAACUGAGAAGCUGUUCUCUGCUGGAACUUCCAGGCAGGCUCUGAAGGAGCAAAGAUAGAAUGUUACAAGUGAACAAAUAAAAGAAUCUG
rnacentral:snRNA from 1 species